CGAAGGUGAACGAAGGUCUUACGGGUGUGGAACAACAUGAGGGUGACGAAGGAGUUGGAUAAGUUGGGGAUCUUAAGUCCAGGGAAGCAUGUAACAGGAAGAAGGUGAGCAUGCAGGUGUGUUCGACUUCGGCUGGAUGUAAUUGAUCAGCAAGAGUUGCCACUUGCACUUGGGAAGGAGCUGAAAAUGGAGACGUGAAGCCGAACACUUUCUGCUUCCUGUACUGACGCUUGUGUGGUGUUUGCAUACUUAAUCAUAAAUGAAGUGAAUUAAAUGCAUUGUUUUUCAAAUACACAGACAUUUCAGAGAUGUUUUCAUUAAAUACUUUAUGGAUUGCUUAAUACAGCAUCUAUUUGUACAAUAAUAAAGUUCAACAUAAAAUUUAAAUACCCUUGAAGUGGGGUCUAUGUUUUUUAUCAGUUUUAUUUUGAUAAACAUGACACAAUACAACAUUGCAACUACAUGAAACGUGCUUUUACUGUUAUAAAAAUACAGAUUUGUGAGCAUUAGUGGAACUUAGUGUCAGAAUAAAUAUGAAACACAUGAGAUCGUUGUAAUCUUUUGAAUCUAGCCAAUUGUGAAACAGCUGUGUCGUCAUCAGAUCCCGUGCAGCCAAUCUGGAGAAGCUGCGCCAGCUGAGUGAGCUGUCUGCUCUCAAAUCAUUUUCGCGGUAAUGCAGU